CUGGCCGAAGGCUUCCUCCUCAGCCAAGCCCAGCGGGAAGAGCCGGGAAAGGGGCAGGAGCCGUUCACAGAGGAGAUUUCAGCAGAGCUCCGGGGCAGAGGAGAUCUAUUCCGCUCUAUUCAGGAGCUGUUUUUCUGGAGGAUCCAACUCUGGCCACCUUGCCAGAGCUCUGAUUCCUUUAAGGGGGUGAUUGUGGACUUCACAGAUGAGGAGUGGAGGCUGCUAGAUUCCGGCCAGAAGGCCUUGUGCAGAGAAGUCGUGCAGGAGUUUUCUAGGAAAAAGGCUG